rnacentral:rRNA from 1 species
UACGGGGAGGAGCAAGCGUUGUUCGGAUUUACUGGGCGUAAAGGGCGCGUAGGCGGUCAGCACAAGUCAGUUGUGAAAUCUCCGGGCUUAACUCGGAAAGGUCAACUGAUACUGUGCGACUAGAGUGCAGAAGGGGCAACUGGAAUUCUCGGUGUAGCGGUGAAAUGCGUAGAUAUCGAGAGGAACACCUGCGGCGAAGGCGGGUUGCUGGGCUGACACUGACGCUGAUGCGCGAAAGCCAGGGGAGCGAACGGG